UCUUCUAACCAACCUGAUCCUUGACGGGAGUCACGGCGCCCAAGUCUCUCCAGUCGAAAUCUUCGGGGAGGUCAGUGGUAAAGGAAUUACAAGAGAAUCUGUAAUUAAAAGGUCUAAUGAGGGUUUAAGGAAUUUAAACAGAUCUGUAAUUGAGCUAUAAAUAAACUGCUAACUCUCACAGGACCUAAAUAUAAUAAACAACACUUCUAAAACUAUUUGCUAAUUUAUUAUCGAGUUUUACUGUGCAGACAAAAUGACCAAGACUCAGAGAAAAGAUUCAAUGAAGUCGAGGGUCAUGGAUGCAAAAGUUUCAAUUAUAUUCGAGUGGGCUAAUUAACGAGUGGGCCGAGUCCAGAGUAUAAUUGGUCCAUUAGUUAAUAGAAUUGUAAUUAAAUCUGUUGUAAAAUUAGCUAUAAGUAAAUGUGUUUAGUGUUGUAAUUAAUACAAAAAGUUAAAUGAUAAUUCAUUUUCCUAAUCACACUCGCACUAACUGUUGCUCAAUAGCCGUUAGUGUCAAAUUAAACCUAAGUUCUUCCCCCUUCUUUAUUCUCCCCUGCGCCAGCUAAGUCCGGCGAAAUUCUGCCUCAAUCAGCUCACUGACAUUGAGGAAUCUCCGGCGCUGUCGCUUAAUAUGGUAUCAGUAGGGAACGAUGUCGACCUAGAUACGAAUUCCGCAUUCAUAAACGAUUCUGGCAAUGAAGAAGAGUCUCAAGAAUCUUCAAAGAAGGCGUUUAAACAAUUCACAACGACCUCGUCUGAAGAUGAUGAUGAGUUUUUCAGAGCUACAAGAAGAAGGAGAAGAAGAUCAGUGAAUAAGAAAGAAAGAGCAAGAUAUGUUAAACAAGAAAUAUCCAGAAAGUCACCAUAUUUUUUAUCAGCUAGAGAUCAUCCAGGGGCUCAAAUGGUCUCUGACAAGUUGACUGGUGAAGUCAAUUAUGUUGCCUGGGCCAACUCUAUGAAGUUGUCGUUAGUCUCAAGGAAGAAGACAACAUUCAUAAAUGGAAAAAUAAAGAAGCCAGUAGAAGAAACAGGAGAUGAGUUCGAGGACUGGGAAAUGGUGAAUGGACUGGUGCUCUCAUGGAUUAUCAAUGGGGUAAGUCCCCAAAUUGCAUCUACUUUAAUACAUACAGAGACUGCCUAUGAGGCAUGGGCUGAGCUUCAAGAGAGGUAUAAACAGAAGAAUGCCCCCAAAACAAGUCAGCUAAGGUAUGAAAUUAAUACCUUAAGUCAAUCUAGCAACUCUGUUUCAGUAUACUUUGAUAGAUUUAAAUCUCUAUGGGAUCAAUACAUAGAGAUAGAAAAACCAGAGUGUAAAUUUUGCACAAAUUGUGCACCUAUUUACACAAGAAAAUUAGAAAAAGAUAGGACUCAUCAGUUCCUAUUAGGCCUUAAUGAGGACUUCAUGGCCAUAAGAAGUCAGAUCCUAGCCUAUUUUGAACUACCCUCAAUGAAUCAAGUUUUUUCACUAGUUAUACAAGAGGAAAAACAAAAACAAAAUUUUAAAGAAAAGAUAGGAGGUAGUUCUACAGCUAUGCUUGCUAAAAGUAGUGAUAAAGAGGAAAAGAAAGAAGAAUACAAGAAAAAAGGGGUAUAUGGCAGGAAUGGAAAGAAAUUGGACACAAAAUUCUAUUGUGACAAUUGCAAGUACUUUGGACAUGUUAGGGAAAACUGUUUUCACUUAAUAGGUUUUCCUAAAGAUAAGAAGGACAAAUAUAAAAAGAAAGAUACUGCAAAUCAGGCAAAUAUCUCAGCAAACAUACCAAAUCUUAACAGUGAGGAGAUACUACUACUCAAGGAUUUAUUAAAUAAAUCCACAGGUAUGUAUUUUUCUUUUUUUUCAAAUAACUUAAAUUAUCAAAAUAAAUGGAUAAUUGACACUGGGGCAUCUCAGCAUAUGACUGGAAACCCUAAUUUUUUUGACAACAACCCCAAACUAGAAUAUAAUCACUAUGUGACCAUUCCUAGUGGGGAAGUGUGUAAGGUUAUAUCAGUUGGAGAUAUAACAAUUUCUGAAAAUAUCACUCUUAAAAAUGUAUUGUACAUUCCACAGUUUAAAGUAAAUCUGAUUUCAGUAAACAAAAUAGCAAGUGAUUCAGAUUUAAAUUUAAAUUUUAACAAAAAUGGAUGUGAUUUUCAGGAAAACAGGUUAGGGAAAGUGAUUGGGCAGGGUGAAUGUAGAAAUGGGCUUUACUUCCUCAAGCCUCAAAUUGACUCUGCCAAUUCUUCCAUAGACCUUGAAACUUGGCACAAGAGGCUAGGGCAUACCUCAGCAGAGAAAAUAAGGAUUUUAAUCCAAACUGAGAGUAUAAAUGCUAAGAAAAAUUGUAUUCUAAAUUCUGAUAAAGGAUGUAAAACUGUUUUGAAUAAUUUUUCAAUAAAUAAAAAUCUUUCAAAUAUUAAAGAUAAUUGUCUUGUUUGCCCACUUGCAAAACAGAAUAAACUAAAAUAUAAAAAAAGCUUGUCUAAAUCAAAGGUUUUAUUUGAUUUAAUUCAUAUAGAUAUUUGGGGUAAAUUCCCAAUUAUGACACAUGAUGGCUUUUCCUAUUUUCUGACCAUUGUGGAAGAUUUAAGCAGGGUCACUUGGACCUUUCUUUUAAAAACAAAGGCCAUGGCUCUAGAACAAAUCAAAUUGUUCAUAAUUAGAGUAAAAACCUUUUUUAACAAAAAUAUCAAAAUUAUAAGGAGUGAUAAUGGAGGUGAAUUCACCUCACAAUCUUUUAAAAAAACCCUAGAGAUGUAUGGAAUAAUUCAGCAACUUACUUGCCCAUACACACCUCAACAAAAUGCAAUUGUUGAAAGGAAACAUAGGCACUUGCUAGAGGUGGCUAGAUCCUUACAUUUUCAAGGAAAAAUCCCUCUAAUAUAUUGGGGAGAGUGUAUAUUAACAGCCACUCAUAUAAUUAAUAGGAUUCCAUCCAAAGUGUUGGAUAAUAAAACCCCAUAUGAAAUACUCAAUAACAAAACACAUAAUUAUGACUCAAUGAGAAUUUUUGGAUGUUUAUGUUAUGUAACUACUAACAUUAGAGAACAUAAGUUUUCUCAAAGAACUUUUAAAGGUAUAUUCAUGGGAUAUCCCUCUAAUACUAAAGGCUAUUUAGUAUUAGACAUAGAAAUCAGAAAAUUCCAUAUCUCUAGAAAUAUAAUUUUUAGAGAAAAUAUUUUUCCUUUUAAAGAUAAUUUGUUCAAAGAUCAUCAAGAUCAAGAACAAAACAAUAGAUCAUAUGAGGAAAUAUAUAAUAACAUCAUUUACAAACACUAUGAUGAUAAAAUAAAAAGCAAGAAUGGAUCUGAAAAUAAUCACUCUUCAAAUGAAAAAUCAGAAUUUCAAACAUCUGAAAAUUUAAAAAUGUUGAACUCUGAAAAUAUAGAUUCAGUCAUGCCUGAUCUAUAUAAAAAGAAGAGAAAUAAAAAUUCAGAUCCCAAAGAAAAUUUUAAAUCUCAAAAUGAAACAGGAAAUGAGUCAAUUCAGACUCAAAAUUCAGGAAAACAGCCUCAGAAAGAUCAAGAUAACUUAAACUCUCUUGAUACACAUAAAACAAACUCAGUAGAAGAAAGACUACAUGAGUUUGCUGAAAAUACACAAAAUCUGAAUCAAACCCAAAAUAAUGGUCAAAUAUCUGAUAACAAUGUUCAGAUAAAUCAAAAAGAGUUUAGCUCAAAUAAUGAACAAACUCAAAACCUUAACCAAGAGAAUUUAAGCAUCUCUCUGGAUACUAGCCAACUAGACAGAAACUCAAAAGAAAGAGCUUCUAAUUUUUUAAACAAUAAUGCAGUCCAAUAUAAUCUGGACAGCAACAUUUUUGACAGUAACUCAAAAGAAAACAAUAAUUCAAAAGAACUCUCUUUAGAAUCAAGAGAAGAGAAUGAGAAGAGAAUAAUCUAAACAAAAACUCAAAAGAAAUUCAUUUUGAGAAAACAAACAAAGAUGCUCUGGACACCCAAAUAGGUGAUCUGAAUAUCAAUCAAAGAGACUUCUCUCUUCAACAAAACUUAAACAAAAAUGCUCUGGCCACUCUAAAUAGUUCAGAACAAAAAUUUUCUGAAAUUUUAGAAGCCAAUAAACAAAAUACAGUCCAAGAGAAUAAUUCAAGUUCUCUAGACAGUCAAUUAGGAAAUAAUUCAUCUAAAAACAAAACAAAUCAGAAAGUUAGCUUUCAUGGUAGGAAAAUAAUUAAAUCAAAACAUCUUCAAGAUUACUAUCUUGAAAAUGAAAAAGAUUAUCAUGAGCCAAAAUAUCCCAUGAGCAACUAUGUAUCUUAUCAUAAAACUAGCAAACAGAAAAAAUACUUUCUAAAGCAAAUAACAGUGCAUGAUGAACCCAACUCUUUUGAAGAAGCUUCAAAAGAUCCAAAUUGGGUUGAUGCAAUGCAAAAAGAGAUGAAAGCUCUUAAUGAAAACAACACAUGGACUCUAGAUGAGCUUCCAAAGAAUAGAAAAUCCAUAGGAUCAAAAUGGGUUUAUAAAAUUAAAUAUAAACCAAAUGGUGACAUAGAGAGAUAUAAAGCAAGGUUGGUAGCCAAAGGCUUUACACAAAAAGAAGGUUUUGAUUUUUUUGAAACCUUUGCACCAGUAGUUAAAAUGAUCACAAUUAAAGCAAUAAUAGCUAUAGCAGCUAUGAAAAAAUGGAUUUUAUACCAAUUAGAUGUUAAUAAUGCCUUUCUUCAUGGGGAAUUACAUGAAGAGGUUUAUCUUAGACCACCACAAGGUCUCUUAUGCAAAGAAGACAAAAGAGUGUGUAAACUAAACAAGUCACUCUAUGGGCUCAAACAGGCUUCAAGGAGUUGGUUUGAGAAGUUAAGAGGGGUUCUCUUAGAUAUGGGCUUCAUUCAAGCCAAAUCUAAUUAUUCUCUAUUUAUAAGGGGAAAAAAUCAGAACAUAUCAUACCUUAUAGUGUAUGUAGAUGACAUUAUCAUAACUGGAAACAAUGAAUUAGAAAUUUCCAUAAUCAAAGUGCAACUAGAGAACAAAUUCAAACUAAAAGACCUAGGAAUACUAAAUUAUUUUCUAGGUAUUGAGGUGUCAUAUUCUGAAAGAGGAAUAUACCUCUCACAAAGGAAGUAUGCUCUAGGAAUUUUAGAGGAAUGUGGCUUAUCAGGAGCAAAACCCUCCUUAAUACCUAUGGAGAGGCACAUAGACCUUAAAAAUGAUAAAUCAUCAAAAAUUAAAAAUCCAACUUUUUAUAGGAAAAUUGUAGGAAAACUUAUAUAUCUAAACAUAACUAGACCAGAUAUAAGCUUUCCAGUUAAUUGGCUAAGCCAAUUCAUGCAUGAUCCAAAAGAAGUGCAUCUUCAAGCUUUAUUCAAGCUAGUUAGAUACAUUAAAAAUGCACCUGGUCAGGGUCUAAUAUACAACAAAAGGCAAGAUAUGACCUUACAAGCAUAUUGUGAUGCUGAUUGGGCAUCUUGUCAAAUAAGUAGAAAAUCCUUAACAGGUUUUUGUAUAAUGUUGGGGGAUUCAUUGAUCUCAUGGAAAACUAAGAAACAAGUACAGUUGCUAGGUCAUCUUGUGAAGCUGAAUACAGAGCAAUAGCUCAAACCACAUGUGAAAUCACAUGGAUUCAUCAACUAAUGAAUGAAUUAAAAAUUAAAAUAAGAACACCAACUGAAAUUUUUUGUGAUAACAAAUCUGCCAUAUACUUGGCUAAUAACCCUGUUUUUCAUGAGAGAACUAAACAUAUAGAAAUAGAUUGUCAUUUCAUAAGGGAAAUGAUAAAUCAAGGAAAAAUAUUCAUAAAGCAAGUAGGAACUAGAUUCCAACUAGCUGACUUCCUAACUAAAGCUUUAGGAGACAGAGAAAUAACAAAUUCUCACUUCAAGCUUGGAAUACUUAAUAUAUAUUCCAAGGCUUGAGGGGGGGGAGUAAAGGAAUUACAAGAGAAUCUGUAAUUAAAAGGUCUAAUGAGGGUUUAAGGAAUUUAAACAGAUCUGUAAUUGAGCUGUAAAUAAACUGCUAACUCUCACAGGACCUAAAUAUAAUAAACAAAACUUCUAAAACUAUUUGCUAAUUUAUUAUCGAGUUUUACUGUGCAGACAAAAUGACCAAGACUCAGAGAAAAGAUUCAAUGAAGUCGAGGGUCAUGGAUGCAAAAGUUUCAAUUAUAUUCGAGUGGGCUAAUUAACGAGUGGGCCGAGUCCAGAGUAUAAUUGGUCCAUUAGUUAAUAGAAUUGUAAUUAAAUCUGUUGUAAAAUUAGCUAUAAGUAAAUGUGUUUAGUGUUGUAAUUAAUACAAAAAGUUAAAUGAUAAUUCAUUUUCCUAAUCACACUCGCACUAACUGUUGCUCAAUAGCCGUUAGUGUCAAAUUAAACCAAAGUUCUUCCCCCUUCUUUAUUCUCCCCUGCGCCAGCUAAGUCCGGUGAAAUUCUGCCUCAAUCAGCUCACUGACAUUGAGGAAUCUCCGGCGCUGUCGCUUAAUAAGUGGUAGGGAGUGUUGCAGCCUCAUGGGUCCCGAUGGAUGCCGGAUUUGUUUUCUGGAAUAUGGAAGGUUUCGGUUUCUUCAGACCAAGAUAUCGGGACUCGAACUCCUCGGUUGUUAGAUCGGAAAACUUGGUGAUACCGUGGGUAGCGGAGGGAUCAAGCACUUGGUUCCUCUGGGCUCUCCGGAAGUUGGAUCGAAAAACCUUGUAACGGUGAUCGUGCUCCUCCGUCGUCUCGUAUGACUUUGAGUAUCUCGGGAGUGAAUUCACUCUUCAGUAGAUGGUCGUCUUCUUCGUUUUCCUCAACAUCGCUGACGACGCCAUCUUCGAUCACCUGUUUGAUGAGAGCUUGUUUCUGAGAGUAAACGGAGACGACGGCAGUGACCCAAAAGAGGACAAGGAAGAGGAAGAGAUGGAGGUUUCGGCGUUCCAUGUUUGAGAAACUCUAACACUCUACCUACUUAUUUCCGAUGAUGGGGGUGGGGGACUCGAGAGUGAAAACUAAUU
rnacentral:lncRNA from 1 species